rnacentral:rRNA from 1 species
UACGUAGGGAGCAAGCGUUGUCCGGAAUUACUGGGCGUAAAGGGCGCGUAGGCGGGGAUUUAAGUUAGGUGUGAAAACUGAGGGCUCAACCUUCAGACUGCAUUUAAAACUGGAUCUCUUGAGGGCAGGAGAGGAAAGUGGAAUUCCUAGUGUAGCGGUGAAAUGCGUAGAUAUUAGGAGGAACACCAGUGGCGAAGGCGACUUUCUGGACUGUACCUGACGCUGAGGCGCGAAAGCGUGGGGAGCGAACAGG